AGAGUUUGAUCCUGGCUCAGGAUGAACGCUAGCUACAGGCUUAACACAUGCAAGUCGAGGGGCGAGCGCGGCGGAAGCUUGCUUCCGCUGGCGGCGACCGGCGCACGGGUGCGUAACGCGUAUCCAACUUGCCCUUGUCCCGAGGAUAGCCUCGCGAAAGCGAGAAUAACUACCCGGUGUAGCCACGGUUCCGCAUGGGAUUUGUGGCGAUAGGUCCGCCGGACAA
rnacentral:rRNA from 1 species